rnacentral:lncRNA from 1 species
GGGACCUUGGGCCCAAUUAAUUCAAACACUAUUUUGUAAUUUGUAAUUUGUAAUUAUGUAGAUUCUCAAUACAGAAUCUACAAUACUUUCAAAGUAAAUUUAGGUUUUCGCCACAAAAAAACUUUCACUUUUAGAAAAAGCCAAAGCUUUUCAAAAAAGACAGAAAAACAUCUCCACUUUUAAAUCAAAGACAUGCAAAUGUAAAAGAUUUCUUAGGAAAUCCAAAAAUAAAUAAGGGCAAUUUUGUCCAUUUUGGCUACUUUUAAAAAUUUUCUCUCUCCUUUGGGAUUUUCCAAAGCUCAAAGCUUUAUACUCUCACUAGGUUUUUCUUUUAGUUGGUCUAUCUCUUUAGAGGGACAAAAUACUCACAAAAUUUUACCAAAGUAAACAAUAUAGGCUUUCCUAAAACCCUAAACCACAUGUCUUUCGAC